GUUUCGGGGCGGGGUGUGACUCCCCACCGGCGGUGAUGGGCAUUCAGCCAUGAGUCCGCGACCUGCGAAAGCAGCUGAUCCGGUGCGAUCCCGGAACCGACGGUAUAGUCCGGAUGAAAGAAA
rnacentral:ncRNA from 1 species